rnacentral:lncRNA from 1 species
AAUUGAUAUUACUUUCUAUCUUAUUUUAUUUUAUUCAAAUUACUAUGUAGAAACACAAAUAUUAAGUGACAACUUAUGAAAUAUUUCAAUGUAUAUCAAUCAUCAGCACAAAUAUUAAGUGAUAACUUAUGAAAUAUUUCAAGUUUUACCGAUCUUCAGCAGAAACUAAAUACAAAAACCAUUCAAAAUUUUAAUCUAUAAGGAUUUUAACACGUACACAUCGUCUAUUAACACAAACUGGUCUAAAAUGUUUCGAACAACGAAGAACAAAACAAUCCAAAUCUUUUGAACAUUUAUACCCAUUUGCUGUGAAAAAGAGAAUAAAACAACUUAAAUUGUUCAGUGUAAGGAGUAUUAUGAAAAUAAUGUCCGAAUUAAAAAAUGAAGUUUAUUAAGAAUAAAAAAUACUUACCUUCAAUGUUCAGUGUAAGGAGUAUUAUGAAAAUAAAUAUAAUUAUAACUGAAACAAACUGAGAAACUAGAGCCAUUUAUUCCUUUAUAUGCAUGUAACAAAUUGUUCUAUUAUUUUAUAACUCAUAAAGUCCUAUCAUCACCUUACAUCAAUUAAGUAGU